rnacentral:sRNA from 1 species
AGAACAAAAUAAAAUUCUUUAUGGGUGACAGUCAUGAGCUGUGCUUGGCUCCAAAAACCCGACUAAAGAUGUAACAAGGUGUGGUGUUGGGCGCAUUUAUCCUGUGUUAACUUCCUAUGUUAACGUGCUGUGACACCAGAGGUGUGCAUCCUCGAGUGUGAAGAGAAGGUCUUCCCCAGCCCCCUCUGGACUCCAUGCACCAAGGUCAUGGCCAGGAGCUCUUGGCAGCUCAGCCCUGCCGCCCCAGAACAUGUGGCGGCUGCUCUCUACCAGCCGAGAGCUUCGGAGAUGCAGCAUCUGCGGCGAAUGCCCCGAGUCCGGAGCUUGUUCCAGGAGCAGGAAGAGCCCGAGCCUGGCAUGGAGGAGGCUGGUGAGAUGGAGCAGAAGCAGCUGCAGAAGAGAUUUGGGGGCUUCACCGGGGCCCGGAAGUCGGCCAGGAAGUUGGCCAAUCAGAAGCGGUUCAGUGAGUUUAUGAGGCAAUACUUGGUCCUGAGCAUGCAGUCCAGCCAGCGCCGGCGCACCCUGCACCAGAAUGGUAAUGUGUAGCCGGAAGGGGCGCUCCUCCCAGCUGUACCGGCCACUGCAACCCAUGAGUGAGUUGGGCACCAAUAAGCUGGGGGCAAGGAGAGACCUCACACACCAACUGUCUUAGCCUUGCUCCCAGGCCUAGAAGCACAUUCAUCUCCCCGCCCCCUCCCCACUCCACACACACACACCCCGCAAGGAGUCCAGCCCACCCUUUCUCUAGGCAGCAAAGAUUUUCCUAUGAUUGCACCUUGAAGCUGACCACUUCGGGCUAGAGACUGGUUACCAUGGGGAUAAUAGUAGUAUGUUAAGAUAACUAAUUCCUCUAUCACUCCCCAGGAGCUUAGUUACUAUGGGGACAGUUAAGUGGACCAAUACGCCCAUCCAGUUGCCACAGCAACCAGUCAGCUCACCUUUCCUCGAGAUUGUCUCUCUAAACACCAAGAGUGGGACCUACUCUUAGCCAUUAGCAGAGUCCGAUUACCACAGCUAUGAUGGUGCUAUUUCAUCUUCAAAGAUGGCUUACCUAUCCCCUCUCCUUUCCCCAGCUCUCAGGGUGCCUGGCUCCAUGGAAACAUUAAAGUUUCCCAUUUUACCUGGCCAAAGAGUUCCUGUUAAGAUCAGGAGUUGUGGUUUCUGCUCUUCCUCCUUCCACAAGCCAUUUGUCCAUCCUGCCACCUUGCCAGAGAGGGACUGAUUCCUUGUGGUCAACGGUAUCAUUACUGAGCAAGACGUGGAGAAUUUGGUCCAAUGGACCUAGUAGCUACUAGAAUAUGGACUAAAGGGG